rnacentral:lncRNA from 1 species
UGGUCAUCCUGGUCGGACGGUGUUCUCUUUCCAGUUAUACUUGGUAUUUACAACAUAACUUAAGUGUUGUUACGGCAUAACGAGGACUCUCUAUUCUACUCAGGAACACCAGGCUUGGUGACUUUUCAUCGUUCCCAUUACUUACGACCUACGCAACUCGCUGGAGCUCCCACGUUUUCAGGAGGGAUGAUUUGCUCAUGCAUUGCCGAUAACCUCCCCUCCCUCGUUCUGAGUUCUGGUGGUUCCAGUGGGCCUGACCCGAAUCUCUGCUUCACAAGUUGGUAUGUGGCCCAGCCUGGCCGAAUUGAGGCCAACGAGAGUCAGGCCAGGGCUUUUUCCGGACCUGCUGUGAGAGAGAGACUCUCUUUCCAUCUAGGUUGCCAAGUUGGUAAAAGGCAAACAUGCGUAAAACGAGC